CUUCUCCAUGCUCGGAAUAACUUCCUGCAGCGACCAACAGGCUAAAGAGGGGGAAGGGAUCCAGCACCGGCUCCUCCUCCGGCAACCACGGUGGGAGCGGCGGAGGAAAUGGACAUAAACCCGGGAAUUUUAAAUCCAAGCUGGGUUUCAUCAACUGGGAUGCCAUAAACAAGAACCAGGUCCCGCCCCCCAGCACCCGAGCCCUCCUCUACUUCAGCCGACUCUGGGAGGAUUUCAAACAGAACACUCCUUUCCUCAACUGGAAAGCAAUUAUUGAGGGUGCGGACGCGUCAUCACUGCAGAAACGUGCAGGCAGAGACGAUCAGAACUACAAUUACAACCAGCAUGCGUAUCCCACUGCCUAUGGUGGGAAGUACUCAGUCAAGACCCCUGCAAAGGGGGGAGUCUCACCUUCUUCCUCGGCUUCCCGGGUGCAACCUGGCCUGCUGCAGUGGGUGAAGUUUUGGUAGGCGGAGCAAAAGUGAGGGGCACCACAGGCGAACAGGCAAUUUCUUGCAACCACCACCGAGGCCCCGAAAAGCACUGGUCGUCAGGGAGCUCCUCCCCUUGGCCCCCAGCCUGUGCCAGCCCUGGCCCGGCUGCCACACCUCUGUUUCCUAGGCUGGGGACCCAGCUUGUCUCUCCUUGUUUCUUCCCACUGCACUGUGGUGCUUCAGUGGCCACCAGCCUCGUCACAUACACCAGCAUCUUUCUGUACCUCCUCCCUUUGGUGACCUGAAGUCACUGUGACAGUUCUCCAGGAAGGAGGAGCUUCCUACUUUUGAGUUUCUCUGUGGAAAUAAAACAUGAAUCUUGUUUCCCU
rnacentral:lncRNA from 1 species